ensembl:lncRNA
UUUUUUUCAGGCUAUGAACUGUAGAGGGGGCGUCUCUAAGCUUACUGACCCUUGCCACACAAGGCUUGACAAAAUUAAGAGAAAAGAAGAUACCGGCAUUCCACUUCACGAACCGAUCCCCUGCUGCAAGUCCACUGGGAGAAGCGCAGCAGCAACUGCACUUUAAAAACAGACGGACUGGAUAAGGCUGAUGACCUGAAACUGCCCAAGAUCCUUCAGGGGAUCUAACACAGAGUGACAAAGAGAAUGAAGACCACAAUUUCCAGUCAGCACUUAGGGAGACUGUAAAAUCUCGGCAACUAUUGGAACAGCCACUCCAACACUUCAGUUACAGACUCUCUAGGAUCUCCUCAAAUGCACAAGCAGUAAUGGACUCAGGCUGGAAGAAAAUAUCAAAAUAAAUGAACAAUGCUGCUACAUUACAGGCUCGCACACAGCAGGAGUGUCACACACGCAUGAAUGCAUUUACAAAACUGA